rnacentral:tRNA from 1 species
GGAGAGAUGGCUGAGUUCGGUCGAAAGCGCUCGACUCGAAAUCGAGUAGGGGACUUAAUACCUUCCCUCGGGGGUUCGAAUCCCUCUCUCUCCGCCA